GAUGAACGCUGGCGGCGUGCCUAAUACAUGCAAGUCGAGCGAACAGACGAGGAGCUUGCUCCUCUGACGUUAGCGGCGGACGGGUGAGUAACACGUGGAUAACCUACCUAUAAGACUGGGAUAACUUCGGGAAACCGGAGCUAAUACCGGAUAAUAUAUUGAACCGCAUGGUUCAAUAGUGAAAGACGGUUUUGCUGUCACUUAUAGAUGGAUCCGCGCCGCAUUAGCUAGUUGGUACGGUAACGGCUUACCAAGGCAACGAUGCGUAGCCGACCUGAGAGGGUGAUCGGCCACACUGGAACUGAGACACGGUCCAGGCGCCUACGGGAGGCAGCAGUAGGGAAUCUGCCGCAAUGGGCGAAAGCCUGACGGAGCAACGCCGCGUGAGUGAUGAAGGUCUUCGGAUCGUAAAACUCUGUUAUUAGGGAAGAACAAAUGUGUAAGUAACUAUGCACGUCUUGACGGUACCUAAUCAGAAAGCCACGGCUAACUACGUG
rnacentral:rRNA from 1 species